CCUUUGUGUGUGUUCUGGUCGUACAAAACACAGGAGCCAAGAAGGGCUCUCAAGCUCAAACCCUAACAAGCAUAAAAUCAACAAAUUGAAGGGGUAAAUCCAACCUAAAUCGAAAUCCAAGCACGAAUUCAUGAUCACCUCGAUGAAGGGAUCAUAAGUUUGACUCUUAACAAGCUAGAUGGAGGCUUGGGGAAAGAAGCGGGUCAAACGGAUCGUAUACGCGGAAAAGAGCAUAAUCCGGAUACUAGGAAUAAAUAUCGAUUGAAUGUUGACAUCGCUAUUACUUAGCGGCUACUAAGGCAAGGUAUCGAAACGGGUCAAUAUAUUGAUCCGAGCCAGGUGAAGAUGGACCUAAUCCGGAUGAAGAUCAAGCUGCGAGCAAGAACCGAACACACGUUAAAUGAAGCUUCCGCGUCAAAUCUUGAUUUGUGUUGAUAUAAGUGAAUUAUGUAAACACUUAUAAAUUGUUUUUGAAAUGUUGUAAUCAUUUGGGAAUGCUGGUAUAACAAGUUUUGUAAAGACACAUUUUAGCAUAAAAAUUUGUAUCUUUUAU
rnacentral:lncRNA from 1 species